AGAGUUUGAUCAUGGCUCAGGAUAAACGCUGGCGGCGUGCCUAACACAUGCAAGUCGCACGUCCUUUCCUUUCGGGGAGAGGGAGUGGCGGACGGGUGAGUAACACGUGGGUGACCUACCUUUGAGUGAGGAAUACCGGCGAGAAAUCGCUGACAAUUCCGCAUACGCUUGCUUUAGCAAGCAAAGCCGAAAGGCGCUCGAAGAUGAGCCCGCGUCCGAUUAGCUCGCUGGUGGGGUAAUGGCCUACCAGGGCAACAAUCGGUAGCUGGUCUGAGAGGACUAUCAGCCACACUGGGAUUGAGAACGGCCCAGACUCCUACGGGAGGCAGCAGUGAGGAAUUUUCCGCAAUGGACGCAAGUCUGACGGAGCAACGCCGCGUGCAGGAUGAAGGUCUGCGGAUCGUAAACUGCUUUUACCAGGGAAGAGAAUGGACGGUACCUGGUGAAUAAGCCCCGGCUAACUACGUGCCAGCAGCCGCGGUAAUACGUAGGGGGCGAGCGUUGUCCGGAUUUAUUGGGCGUAAAGAGCAUGCAGGCGGCCCUGCAAGUGGAAGGUUACAAUUCCUGGCUUAACCGGGAAAGCGCCUUCCAAACUACAUGGCUUGAGAGCGAGAGAGGGACAUGGAACUCCGAGUGAAGCAGUGAAAUGCGUAGAUAUUCGGAGGAACACCGGUGGCGAAGGCGGCUUCCUGGACCGACACUGACGCUGAGGCGCGAAAGCUAGGGGAGCAAACGGGAUUAGAUACCCCAGUAGUCC
rnacentral:rRNA from 1 species